UUUUUCUUUUCUUUUUUUUUUUUUUUUUUUUUUUUAGGGCCACACCCACGGCAUAUGUAAGUUCCUGGGCUGGGAUGGAAUUAAAGCUACGGCUGCCAGCCUACACCAGUCACAGCAAUGCCAAAUCCAAGCCGCGUCUGCAACCUACACCACAGUUCAGGGCAAUGCUGGAUCCUUAACCCAUUGAGCAAGGCCAGAGAUCGAACCCACAUUCUCAUGGAUCCUAGCUGGGUUUGUUAACUACUGAGCCAUGAAGAGAACUCCCAAGUUCUAUGAAAAAUUUUAAACAAUAAUCAAAUUCUCAUUGGAGGCCGGUGAGACUUACAAUAUUGAAAAUAGUCUCUUUUUUCAUAAUUAAAUAAUGAGUAUUCUAGGCACCAUGCUGAAAGCUUAGAUGUGUCUCCUAUCUUGAACAGUACACAAUCUAUUUUUUAAGACAGGCAAGAAUAAGCACUUAAAAAAUAAAAAAAUUUAAAAAAGGAGUUCCCGUCGUGGCUUAGCAGAAACCAAUUAAACCAAUCUGACUAGCAUCCAUGAGAACGCAGGUUCGAUCCCUGGCCUCACUCAGUGGGUUAAGGAUCCAGCGUUGCCAUGAGCUAUAGUGUAGGUCGCAGACGUGGCUUGGAUCCUGCAUUGCUGUGGCUCUGGAGUAGGCCACUGGCUAUAGCUCCGAUUUGACCCCUAGCCAGGAACCUCUACAUGCUGCAGGUCAGCCCUAAAAAGACAAAAGAUUCAAAAAUAUAUAAAUAAAAAGGAGAUAGAUUCUAAAACUACUGAAAAACACAGUAUGUAUGACAGAUUGAGUUACAACCAGCUUAGAGUCAUAAAAACCACUUGGUCAAUAUGGCCUUUGGCAAAUUCCUUAGUUUUUCUAAGCCUCAGUUUCUCCCUAGGUAAAAUCUUCCCUACUUCACAGUUAAGCUGAGUCACUUAACAUAGUAAUUGCUCUUGGUAAAUACUAACUUUAUGGUAGCAACUAUUAUUCAUAAAGUAAUAUGACUAGGCCUUGGUGACUGAAUGUUAAGUCAUGAGAGAACAAAAGUCAGAGUUGACUCACAGGUUUUUACUAAAGUGAUAGAUAGGAAAAGUGCAAAUUUAGAAGAAGCAAUAGGUUUAAAGUGAAAAAUGGUUCUUCCGUUUUUAUUUUUUUAUUUUUUGGCUGCACCCACAGCAUGUGGAAGUUCCCAGGCCAGGGAUCAAACCCAAGCCACGGCAGUGACAACACCAGAUCCUUAAACUGCUGAGCCAUGAAGGAACUCCAGUUGUUCUGUUUUUAGACAUGUUAAAGAGUCUACAGGAUAUCCAAAACAGUUUAAAGCUACUAAAAGUCAUCCUGAGUUUUCAAAAACAAUCUUGAGUAUAAACACAAGUACACACACGAAACCUCAGAUAUGUAAACUGUUUUAACCAGGAUUAUAAUAAAGCAUCGGAGAAUCCUAAACCUCAAUCAAAAUUCAUAAAUCAUCCUGUUGAGUGAUUCAUAAUUUUUUUUUUUCAUCAUGAGAAUCUGAUGAAAGCUAAGGCCCUCUCCUCAAAAAUCUUCAAAAAUAAAAUCUCACAACACUGGGUUAAGAACCUCCUGAUCCAUUUCCCUCAAGGAGCACUGAGAUACAAUUAGGCUGUCUUACUGCUAAUUAGAGACAAAGCCCAAACCAAAACCAGGCUCUCAAUUACAUUUUUUUCUCCUUUAUUACCAGUAACUUGAAAUGAUUCUUUCAUAUUUACAUUUUAUUUAGUCAGUCAUGCAAGGUUAAAAUCCGCCCCCCCAACACACAAACCCCUCUUCAGAUUUUUACUGACUGCAGUUUACAGCCUUUAUCAGGCUUUCUAGAUCCAACGGCAUUUCCCAACAGUCAGCUGUUUCCCUUUUGUACUAACAAAAUAGGUUGGCACAAAAGUAGAAGCAUUGGUCGUGGGUUGUUUUUGUUAUUUCCUUUUAAAAUAAAUAAAUAAAAAGUUGUUUCACUUUUGAAACUUUUCUUCCUAAUGAGAAUUGAUUUAUUUAGAUGUAAAGAAUCCUCUUACAAUUUGAUUCAACAAAUGCUACUGCUACCUACCAAAUACAAAGCACUAAGAACACAAGAUAUCUAAGAAUCCCAAGAUUAUCCAUUAAAAGUAAAACAAAUAAAUGCCUACGACUUUGAGCAAAGGAAUAGAAAACAUCAUUAUUUGUGCCAACACUUAUUAGGAAAAAAAAGAACCUGUGGCAAAAGAGAGAGCCAUACCCAACCAUUAACAGUUCAACACAGACUGUUACAUGCUCUAGAAGUUACAUAAACAGAAGUUAUGAACACCUUGACUGAGGAGCAAUAGACUUUGAAUUCUGACAGAACUGAGUUCUCUUUUUUUGUCUUUUUAGGGCUGCACUGGAGGCAUAUGGAGGUUCCCAGAAUAAGACAAAAAAAAAAAAAAAGAAAAGAAAACACAUAUGUCAGCUAACAUUCUAACAGAAAAAUUAAAUUGUUUUACAUAUUAUGUUUAUAAAUUAUAUAAAGGACAGUGUAUCUAUUAGCUAGUGAAUUUCAUUCUGCUUCAUUAAAGCGGAAUCUGCUUUUAUAUCUAUGCUAUAUGAUCUAUUUUAUACGUAUACAUCUUAAUAUACUUAUAGUAAGCAUGUUUUAUGGCAUUGUAAAAGUAUACUUUCUCUUAAAAAUUAUACUGUUUCAGAAUUCAGUACAUUUUAAUUCAGGCUAGCAUGAACAGAUUAAGCAGAUAUCAAAAUAACAUAAAACCAUUUAAAUAAAGAAAUGAAAAGAGAUAAGGUUCCAGAGUUCCCUUUGUGGCUCAGCAGUUAACAAACCCGACUAGGACCCAUGAGGAUGUGGGUUCAAUCCCUGGCCUUGCUCAUUGGGUUAAGGAUCCGGCGUUGCUAUGGUGUAGGUCACAGAUGCGGCUCAGAUCCCAUGUUGCUGUGGCUCUGUUAUGACAGAGCUGCAGCUCCAAUUCAACCCCUAGCCUGGGAACCUCCACAUUGCUUCAGGUGCAGUCCUAAAAAUAUUUUAAAAUAAAUGCAUAAAUACAUAUAUAUAUAAAAUCUUGGUAUUAUUAACAGAGAGAAAAGUUGAAUAGAAGUUAAUGGCAUGCAAAAGUGAAUAGCCAUUUCUCUUACAGUAUAUAAAAUAUGUGAUUCCUAUAUGUUUAGUGAUAGAAUUUGUGCCACAAGAACAAUAUCAGGAUAUCCACAUGCGAAAGAAUGGAUAUGAACCCUUACCUCACACCAUACACAAAAAUUAACUCAAAAUGAAUCAAAUUCUAAUAUAGAAACCAAAACUAUAAAACUCUUAGGAUACUUUGUGUAAAUAUUCAUGAUCUUGGAUUGGUCAAGGUUUUCUUAGAUAUAAUACCUAAAGCACAAAUAACCGAGAUGAAAAUAAAUUAGAUUUCCUCAAAUUUUUUAUUUUUGUGCUUCCAAGAACAACAUCAAGAAAAUGAAAGAAAACCCACAGAUUAGGAGAAAACACUUAAAAAUACAUACAUCUGGUAAGGGUCUAGUCCCCAGAAUACAUAAUGAACACUUAUGACUCAACAAUGAAAAGAAAAAUAAACCAAUUUUAAAAUGGGCAAAGGAUUUGCAAAGACAGUUCUCCAAAGAAGAUAUACAAAUGGCCAACAAGUACACGAAAAAAUGUUCAACAUCACUACUUAUUGAGGAAAUGCAACUCAAAACCACAAUGAGGGUACCACUUCAUACCCACUAGGAUGGCUAUAAUAAAAAUAAUAAACAAGCAGAAAACAACCAGUGUUACUGAGGAUGUGGAGAAACUGGUACCCUCAUACUUUGCUGAUGGGGAUUUAAAAUGGUGCAGGCACUGUGGAAACCAGUGUGGAAGUUCUUCAGAAAGUUAAACACAGUUACCAUGACUCAGCACUUUUAGGUAUACACUCAAGAGAAUCGAAAACAUGUUCACACAAGAAUUUGUACACGAAUGUUCCGAGCAGCAUUGCUUGUAAUAGUCAAAAAGCAGAAGCAAUCCACACGUCCACCAACUGAGGAAUGCAUAACAAAAUGUGCUAUGUGUAUACCUACACAAUGGAAUACGUAACAGCAAUACAAAGAAAUGAAGUACUGACACAUGCUAUCACAUGGGUGAAAACUGAAAACAUUAUGCUAAGUGAAAGAAGCCGGACACAAAGGCAAUAUGAUUUCAAAUGAUUUUGUUUACAUGAACGGUCCAAAAUAUGCAAAUUCAUAAAGAAAGUAGAUUAAUGAUUGCCAGGGUUGGGAGGGGGAAGGGAGAAGAGCAAGUGAUUGCUAAUGCGUAAGAGGUUUCUUGAGGUGAUGAAAAUGUGCUGGAAUUAGAUAGUGGAGAUGGCUGCACAAUUUUUGAACAUACGAAAACCCACCAAUUAUAUAUUUUACAAUAUAAUCGGUGUACAAUUUAUAGUAUGUGAAUUACAUCACAAUUGAAAAAAAAAAACCCACACUAAUGUCAACUAGAGAAGUCUAUUUAAGAAUAAGAGCAAAAACCAUCUUAAAAGUUACCUGUUAUAGUGAGAACUAUAACAACAUGUAUACUGAAGUCACCAAAAAAGCUAUAACCCCAUGAAAAGUUUCUAUAAUAAGAGGUGGAACCGGUCUGCUCUCCUUACAAAAGAGCAAAUUAAUGAGCAUUUCCUCUGAAGAUUUAAAAGCACUCUCAAGAUUUAUUGAAUUCCUGGAUCUGGAUCUGGAUCUGGUUCCGGAAAGGGAGACUCACACUUGAGUUAAUGAUAGCAUAACUAGUAUAAAGUCGAAUUUUUAAUUUUUCCUUUGUGAAAGCAGAAUGGUCACGAGAUAAAUAAUUAACACACAUAUCCUGAGAAAUGCACUACACAUUAACACAGCUUCGGCACUCAACAGUGUGACCUCACUUCAUCUGAUGAAGUAGAUAGAACAAAUACUAUCCCCAUUUUACCAAAAAAGAUAAUUUAAGAAGAGUAGCAUGACCUAUUCAAGAUCCUAGAAUGGUAGAGCUGGGACUAUAAACCUGGUGCCCUGGUUCCUAGCUUAGUUUACAUUCAUUAAAUCAAGGUUCACUAGCUUUAGUGUGCUACCUUUUCCUUCAUUCGACAAGUCUGUCACGCUACCAUUUUAAUACAUUGUUUAUGGGAAAACAGAACUAAUCUCCAAAUGGUGGCCUUAUUAACUCUUAUUAAAGUACAACUAUUUAUAAAACCAAGAUGUCCUAUAAAUAUAGAAAAUACUUCAAGCACACUCAACACCCUAUUCAUCUAAUCUCAUUUCUCUUAAAAUCUCAAAUACCACAGGAGCUCCUAUAUCAUAUG
rnacentral:lncRNA from 1 species